GCAAGCGUUGUUCGGAUUUACUGGGCGUAAAGGGCGCGUAGGCGGCCACUGCAAGUCGGUUGUGAAAUCUCCGGGCUUAACCCGGAAAGGUCAAUCGAUACUGCAGGGCUAGAGUGCGGAAGGGGCAACUGGAAUUCUCGGUGUAGCGGUGAAAUGCGUAGAUAUCGAGAGGAACACCUGCGGCGAAGGCGGGUUGCUGGGCCGACACUGACGCUGACAGCGCGAAAGCUAGGGGAGCGAACGGG
rnacentral:rRNA from 1 species